UACGAAGGGGGCUAGCGUUGCUCGGAAUCACUGGGCGUAAAGCGCACGUAGGCGGCUUGUUAAGUCAGGGGUGAAAUCCUGGAGCUCAACUCCAGAACUGCCUUUGAUACUGGCGAUCUCGAGUCCGGGAGAGGUGAGUGGAACUGCGAGUGUAGAGGUGAAAUUCGUAGAUAUUCGCAAGAACACCAGUGGCGAAGGCGGCUCACUGGCCCGGUACUGACGCUGAGGCACGAAAGCGUGGGGAGCAAACAGG
rnacentral:rRNA from 1 species